AUCAACAGGAGGGGCUAUAAAUAAUGAUAAAAUGUGAGAAUUUACAUGAGAAAAAAGAAAAGCAUCUCAGUUUCCUUCCAUUUUACGAACGGCUAAACUUCUAUUUUGACCUGCUGUGGUGUGAUGGGUGGGAGGAGGCCAGAAAGGAUGUCAUACGGGGUAUUACUGCUUCAGUGUGUCCAUUUCGAUCGCAGAUCUGAAGACAUUUCUUCAAAAUGGCAAAUAAGGUGAUUUAUGCAGAGUUAUCACCUGAGCAGAGAGUGCAUUAUACUUCACCGACUGCAAAUGCAGGUGACAAAGUAACCUACGCUGAGGUGAAAAGGAGGCGUAAAUCUGACACCUCGGACAGUGUACCAAAGACUACGCAUCAAACAGCCUGCUCCAAGAAUGCGCAAUGGUGUUACGUUGCCAUCGUCCUGUACUUCCUCGCAGUGAUUCAACUCAUCACUGUGGUCCUCUUAGCACUGAAAUGUUAGCCCUGAGACAGAUGAUAUGGCACUGUUGACAAAUGGGGAAAUUCAGAUCAGAAAGGCUCUGCUUCUUCAAUAAAACAAGACAAAAUAAGACAAGAAUAACUAUGAUGUUUUUUCCUCUGCAUAGAUUUCUAUGGAAGAAGACAUGCCUACAGUCUGACCACUCUUCAGUUACUUCUUCCAGGAUUUUCAUGAAACCUUUAACCUCUCUGUAUAUGGGAAAAUAUAUAUAUAUAUAUAUAUAUAUUAUUGAUGUAAUAAUACCAGCAACCACCACUUGGUAUCAGUGCAUGUAACAAGGCUUUAGCUCAAGCUACUGCAUCAUAAGCUGGAUCUAAGUCUUGCCUACACAAAUGACCAGGAGGACCCUUUGGAAACCUCACUUUUAUUUCACAUGACUUGAAUUUACAGUAAUCUGUCAUGUAGAUAAGCUUUUAGGUUUUGAUAUGAUCAAGUGCAAAAAUACAUGGAUAAAAUAGAGAAUGUAAGUGGUUGCACUAUGUGGGUGUUUUUCUUAGUGAGAUCCAUACCCAUAUGUGAUUUUUACUGUUCUGAUGGGUUUUGAUGAGAUUUAUAAGAGUGGAGUACUGAAGAUGAAGGAACUUAAUUAGUUCAUCAGAGAAGUCUCAGUCUCAUUCCCCCAUAGGAAUGAAUAAAAUUAUUCUGUUCUUCUUGUC
rnacentral:lncRNA from 1 species